rnacentral:tRNA from 1 species
GUCUCAGUAGCUCAAUUGGAUAGAGCAUCCCCCUCCUAAGGGGAAGGUUGGCAGUUCUUAUCUGGGGUG